AUUGAACGCUGGCGGCAUGCCUAACACAUGCAAGUCGAACGAGCGGCGGACGGGUGAGCAAUGUAUGGGGACUGCCCGAUAGAGGGGGAUAACUACUCGAAACGGUGGCUAAUACCGCAUACUAUUGUAUGACCUAUAUGGGAUUAGCUAGUAGGUGGGGUAAAGGCUCACCAAGGCGACGAUCUCUAGCUGGUCUGAGAGGAGGAUCAGCCACACUGGGACUGAGACACGGCCCAGACUCCUACGGAGGCAGCAGUGGGGAAUAUUGGGCAAUGGGCGAAAGCCUGAUACAGCCAUGCCGCGUGUAUGAAGAAGGCCUUAGGGUUGUAAAGUACUUUCAGCAGAGAGGCGUUACCUAAAGAAUAAGCACCGGCUAACUCCGUGCCAGCAGCCGCGGUAAUAC
rnacentral:rRNA from 1 species